GAUGAACGCUGGCGGCGCGCCUAACACAUGCAAGUCGAACGAUUAAAGCACCUUCGGGUGUGUAUAAAGUGGCGAACGGCUGAGUAACACGUGGGCAACCUGCCCCUCUCAUUGGGAUAGCCACGGGAAACCGUGGAUAAUACCGAAUACUUCGAGACUUCCGCAUGAAAGACUCGAGAAAGCUCCGGCGGAGAGGGAUGGGCCCGCGGCCUGUUAGCUUGUUGGUGGGGUAACGGCCUACCAAGGCAAUGAUGGGUAGCUGGGUUGAGAGACCGACCAGCCAGAUUGGGACUGAGACACGGCCCAGACUCUUACGGGAGGCAGCAGUGGGGAAUCUUGCACAAUGGGCGAAAGCCUGAUGCAGCGACGCCGCGUGCGGGAUGAAGGCCUUCGGGUUGUAAACCGCUUUCAGCAGGGACGAGGCGAAAGUGACGGUACCUGCAG
rnacentral:rRNA from 2 species